GGGCGCGGCGGACGCGCUGAACCACGGCCGGCGGGAGGGACGGGGCCGGGCUGAACCAUGGCGGGCGGCGGCAUGGGGGCGGUGGAGCUCCGCGGGCAGUCUGGUUGCGCUGCACCCGGACGGGGCCGAGGGGACCUGAAAGCUGCGGCAGAGCCCGACCGCGCCGUUCUCCAGAAUAGCCCCGGCCGCGGCUGAGUCGCGCUCCGGGUGUGGACGGAGCCGGAGCCUCCCCGGGGCGCGAAUCGACAUCUAGAGGAGUACUCACCACUUAAUUGAUGAUCAAUACACGUUCGUUGAAGGAACCGAUAGCAUGCGAUCGAUACAGAGCAUCUGCACUGGGAGUGUCCGCCCCGCCUGGCAGGGAGGCCUCGGGGGCUAAUGGAGCUGAGGGUAUAGGCGGCCUAGGACCCUCGCUUUUUUCCUUUACUGUACCAUGAAGAUAACUGCCUUAUCUCCCCCUCAGGACUAUUUUGGGGAUUAAAUAGGACGUUUAAAUUACCAACGCUCUUUGAAAUAAACAUUUCAAAAUUAUAAUAACCCUUUAGUACAUGUGGGAAAACGUUGACAUUCAUGUUCAAGUUUAUUUUUCUGCUGGCUCAUUUAGGUUUGUUGAAGCCUUGAGUCCCUAGGAUUGUCUAAGAACAUGGGUAAAUGUGUGUGGAGGCCUCCCCAGAGGCCAGAGAACUGCCAGCAGCCUUCAUGGUGUUAGGGGAACAGGAACCUAGGAGAGCCAGGGUGACAUCGUUUUAAAAUCAACAACCCAUCUUGGCCGGCGCGGUGGCUCACGCCUGUAAUCCCAGCAGUUUGGGAGGUCAAGGUGGGUGGAUCACCUGAGGUCAGGAGUUCGAGACCAGCCCGGCCAACAUGGGGAAACUCCGUCUCUACUAAAAAUACAAAAAAAAUUAGCCGGGUGUGGUGGUGGGCACCUGUAAUCCCAGCUACUCAGGAGGCUGAAGCAGAAUUGCUUGAACCCAGGAGGCAGAGGUUGCAGUGAGCUGAGAUCACGCCAUGGCACUCUAGCCUGGGCAACAAGAAUGAAACUCUGUCUCAAAAAAAUAAAAAUAAAAUAAAAUAAACUCCAUCUUAAAACCAGUGAAACCACCAUUGCAAAAUUAUAACUGAGACAGUGAGAGAUCUGACCUAACCAACUCCAUCCUACUUUUAACCUCCAAACUGUCCUUGUUCAUUCCUGGGUGUAGGCCAAACUAACUUUGGAAGAAACUUAGUUUAUAAUUUCCUGAAACAAAUCCUUUUCUUGCCUGGAGACUAGACUGCCUUUGUAGGACUAACAAAUUAGCCGCAAGAUUAGAAAUUAUGGCUUAGAAUUCAUGCAGCUGGAGAUUACAAGAUUCUGACCCUCCGUAAAUUGCUCCUGCGGAUAACAUCACUAUUGAAAAACCUAACAUCAGUGCUUGAGAUAUUUUGCAGACCUUGCACUUGCUGAAUCAGCUGGGACCAUCCAGAUGGAUAAACUGGCUCAUCUGAUCUUGUGGCCCCCACCCAGGAACUGACUCAGGCCAAGAGGACAGCUUUGAUCCAUACGAUUUCAUCUCUGAUCUGACCCCUCAGCGCUCCCAGCUUACUGGCCCCCUACCUACCAAAUUAUCCUUAAAAACUCUGAACUCCAGGGCUGGGCAUGGUGGCUCACACCUGUAAUCCCAGGACUCUGGGAGGCCGAGGCAGGCGGAUCACUUGAGGUCAGAAGUUCAAGACCAGCCUGGCCAACAUGGCAAAACCCCGUCUCUACUAAUAAUACAAAAAUUAGCCAGGCGUGGUGGUGCACGCCUGUAAUGCCAACUACUUGGGAGCCUGAGGCAGGAGAAUUGCUUGAACCCUGAAGGCGGAGGCUGCAGUGCGCUGAAAUCGCACCACUGUGCUCCAGCCUGGGCAACAGAGCAAGACUGCAUCUCAAAAACAACAACAAAAACUCUGAACUCCGAAUUCUUGGGGAAAUUGAUUUGAGUAAUAAUAAAACUCUGGUCUCCCACA